GAUGAACGCUAGCUACAGGCUUAACACAUGCAAGUCGAGGGGUAACGAGAGGAAAGCUUGCUUUCCUUGUCGACGACCGGCGCACGGGUGAGUAACGCGUAUCCAACCUGCCCCCAACUAGGGAAUAACCUUGCGAAAGUAAGACUAAUACCCUAUAAUUUCCUCAGAUGUCAUCUGACGAGGAAUAAAGAUUUAUCGGUUGUGGAUGGGGAUGCGUCUGAUUAGCUUGUUGGCGGGGUAACGGCCCACCAAGGCAACGAUCAGUAGGGGUUCUGAGAGGAAGGUCCACCACAUUGGAACUGAGACACGGUCCAAACUCCUACGGGAGGCAGCAGCGAGGAAUAUUGGUCAAUGGGCGGAAGCCUGAACCAGCCAAGUAGCGUGCAGGAUGACGGCCCUAUGGGUUGUAAACUGCUUUUAUACAGGAAUAAAGUUAGCCACGUGUGGUUAUUUGUAGGUACUGUAUGAAUAAGGACCGGCUAAUUCCGUGCCAGCCGCCGCAGUAAGAC
rnacentral:rRNA from 1 species